rnacentral:misc_RNA from 1 species
AAGACUAUAGACCUGCGGAGUACCUGCGGAAGGAUCAUUAACGUUGGGGACUAACAAUCCCUCAGCGAGAUAGAACCCUUGCCUUUUCGAGUACCACACGUUUCCUCGGCAGGUACGCCUGCCAAUGGGGACCACAACAAAACCUUUUGUAAUAGCAGUAAACGUCUUAAAAACAAAACUUUUAAAACUUUCAACAACGGAUCUCU